UGGGGAAUAUUGCACAAUGGGGGAAACCCUGAUGCAGCGACGCCGCGUGAGCGAAGAAGGCUUUCGAGUCGUAAAGCUCUGUCCUAUGAGAAGAUAAUGACGGUAUCAUAGGAGGAAGCCCUGGCUAAAUACGUGCCAGCAGCCGCGGUAAUACGUAUGGGGCGAGCGUUGUCCGGAAUUAUUGGGCGUAAAGGGUACGAAGGCGGUUUUUUAAGUCAGGUGUCAAAGCGUGGAGCUUAACUCCAUUAAGCACUUGAAACUGAAAGACUUGAGUGAAGGAGAGGAAAGUGGAAUUCCUAGUGUAGCGGUGAAAUGCGUAGAUAUUAGGAGGAAUACCGGUGGCGAAGGCGACUUUCUGGACUUUUACUGACGCUCAGGUACGAAAGCGUGGGGAGCAAACAGG
rnacentral:rRNA from 1 species